CAACCCCAAAAUAUUCCAAAUCUGGAUCUUGCUGCAAGCAGAAAACUGUUUUUACUCCAAUGCUGCGGAGCUUGUCAACAUCCUCUGGAGUCUGUAGGCAUGAUCCUACAAUUAAAUCUGGAUGAAUAAAGUUGUAGUUCAUUCCCAGCUCAUGUCUAUACGUCAAUACAGCACCCAUAGCUUCUGUCAUGUUAUGGCUGUAUAUUUCAGAUUUUUCCUCCUUUUCCUCGGCAUCAUCCACCUCUGCGCCACUCAUUUCAGCACUUGAUGUAGAGCCAGACACUGCCUUCACGAUAGAACGUCGAUGUAGAUCGGUAAAGUUCCUUAUCACCAGGUUACAGAGCUGGAAUUCAGGCUGUCUCUGUCGGCAUUUGAAGCUCCGGAACGGGAAAGAAGAUGAUGUUGAAAGGUUUUGAAGACAGUUCAUGGCCGAAUUGCGAUCGUUCGCCGGAGCACGAUGAAGCAAAUUGGCGGAGCUCCACUGCAGGGAUUGAAACUUUGGAGUUCGAUCAAUGCGUUGGUUCACUUUACGUAGUUACGAAGAAUAGUUUCGAUCACGUUCCUGUGAAUCUCAGAG
rnacentral:misc_RNA from 1 species